rnacentral:rRNA from 1 species
GCCAGACUCCUACGGGAGGCAGCAGUGGGGAAUAUUGCACAAUGGGGGAAACCCUGAUGCAGCAACGCCGCGUGAGUGAAGAAGCGUUUCGGCGCGUAAAGCUCUGUCAGCGGGGAAGAAAGAAGACGGUACCCGACCAAGAAGCCCCGGCUAACUACGUGCCAGCAGCCGCGGUAAUACGUAGGGGGCGAGCGUUAUCCGGAAUUACUAGGUGUAAAGGGGGCGCAGACGGCGAUGCAAGCCAGGAGUGAAAGCCCGGGGCCCAACCCCGGGACUGCUCUUGGAACUGCGUGGCUGGAGUGCGGGAGGGGCAGGCGGAAUUCCUGGUGUAGCGGUGAAAUGCGUAGAUAUCAGGAGGAACACCGGCGGCGAAGGCGGCCUGCUGGACCGCGACUGACGUUGAGGCUCGAAAGCGUGGGGAGCGAACAGGAUUAGAUACCCCGGUAAAA